ensembl:misc_RNA Y_RNA Y RNA
GGUUGGUACGAAGGGAGCUGUUUGAAUUGAUCGUUCAGUCACAGAUCAAACUCCUUAUUUCUACUUCUUCCCUUUUCUCACUACUACACUUGACUAGUCUUAA